rnacentral:rRNA from 1 species
GACGAACGCUGGCGGCGUGCUUAACACAUGCAAGUCGAACGGAAAGGCCCUGCUUUUGUUGGGUGCUCGAGUGGCGAACGGGUGAGUAACACGUGAGUAACCUGCCCUUGACUUUGGGAUAACUUCAGGAAACUGGGGCUAAUACCGGAUAGGAGCUCCUGCAGCAUGGUGGGGGUUGGAAAGUUUCGGUGGUUGGGGAUUGACUCGCGGCUUAUCAGCUUGUUGGUGGGGUAGUGGCUUACCAAGGCUUUGACGGGUAGCCGGCCUGAGAGGGUGACCGGCCACAUUGGAACUGAGAUACGGCCCAGACUACUACGGGAGGCAGCAGCGGGGAGUAUUACACAAUGGGCGGAAGCCAGAUGACGAAACGCCGCGUGCGGGACGACGGCUUUCGGGUUGUAAACCGCUUUCGACUAUAACGAGGCGUAAGUGACGGUAAUGGGUAAAGAAGCACCGGCUAACUACGUG